GUUCCGGUGGUGGUAGAUGGUGCAUGGUGUCUGUACACGGCUCACCUUGACGAAAAGGUCGUGAAGGUUUACAACCCUGUGAUUAUUAAUGGAUGUGAUGAGAGGUACGAAACAAGGCACAUGGAGUUUGUGUACUCGUUGCUCAAUGGUUUGAACGAGGUCGGUACUUACGUCAACAAAGAUUGGUGUUUUGACUUGAAAGAAUGGAGGACAAAUUUCAACAAUGGCAACUUCCGUGCUUGUUCGGCAGUUGAAUCUGGAACAAUGGUGCUGCGUUUUGCUUGGGAGUUGGCAACUCAUGGAAAGUGUGAAGUGAUGAAUGAGGAAUCUGUCGCAGCUGUGGCACCCGGGGUACCACCGCUGCACGACGCAUGGGUCGCAUCGCUUGGUCCCUGGGAGGAUCGCACCCGGGCGGCAACGUGCAAACUGCCCGGCAAGCUACCAGCCCGGCAGGGCUAGCGGGGCUUCGGAGAA